CAGCCGCCGCGGUAAUACGUAGGUGGCAAGCGUUGUCCGGAAUUAUUGGGCGUAAAGGGCUCGCAGGCGGUUUCUUAAGUCUGAUGUGAAAGCCCCCGGCUCAACCGGGGAGGGUCAUUGGAAACUGGGAAACUUGAGUGCAGAAGAGGAGAGCGGAAUUCCACGUGUAGCGGUGAAAUGCGUAGAGAUGUGGAGGAACACCAGUGGCGAAGGCGGCUCUCUGGACUGUAACUGACGCUGAGGCGCGAAAGCGUGGGGAGCAAACAGGAUUAGAUACCCCUGUAGUCCCUGUCUCUUAUAC
rnacentral:rRNA from 1 species